rnacentral:lncRNA from 10 species
AAUUACCACAAGCUCAGUGGCUUUAGAAAAUAGAUACUCUUCUGAAGAUUCUCCCUUCCAGCGCUGGAGGUCAGACACUUGAUCAUGGCGCGAGUAGGGCUAAGUUCCGUCUGGAGGCUCUAAGGGAGCGUCUGUUUCCUGACCUUCCCCAGAUCCCAGGAGCAUCUGCACUCCCUGGCUCGAGACUCCUCCCUCCACCUCACGGCGCAUCCCUCCGGCCGGCGGAAGAAGCCUGUGCUCUGGCGCCGUGUCUCCUCUUCUGCCUUGGGUCUGCCUCUAUCUUAAGUGCCAGGCAUCCCUCAUGUGUACCCUUGGCAGGAGCCUCCAAGGGCAUAAUCCUGUCUCUGAGUAGAUCCCAAGAUGGAAUCUGAAGCCAUUGUCUUCAUGUAUCUUCAUGACAGCUGAAAGAGAUAUUUAAUGGGAUCCAGUAUGCCUGGAAGUCAGGGUAAUGUGUUUUUAUUUCCAAAAUAGCCUCACCUCGACUCCCAUAAUUAACAAUGAUGGUGCCAAAUGGAUGGAAAUCCAAUUCGGAGACCUUCCCAACACUGGGGUCUCCCAAGCUCAUGAGGACUAAACGGACGCAGUCAGCACCAACAAUUAAUUACCCAGGCCACAGGCAAUUACACAAGAGCAUCAGCGCAAAAUGAAGACCGAGACAUGAGAAAGGGAAGUCGAUAUUUAAGUGAGCUGUUGGAUACAAGGCCAGACGCACCAACCUGAACCGUCAGGUGACAAGGCAAAGCUUCACCCCAAGGAGUGGCUCUGGAUUUCCGGGAGGCACCGCUGAGCAGAUGUGAAGACUUGGGACUCCCCAGGAGCCAGGCACCCAGCAAGGGCUGAGCCCCCUCCCAUCACCCCUUCACACCAGAGGGCACGCACCCAUUUCCAAGGAGACACUCCCUGGCUAGAACUGAAGUCACAUCCCUCAACUAUGUGCCCCUAAACCAUUCUCCUUCACAGACACCACACAGUGACAGGCACGGGUCCAGCGGGCUUCUAGAAACCAGACAGUUUCGGGGCACACUCUGCACUGUGAUGUCACAUGUCAGGCACUGCAUCUGUUGGAAAAUUCUAACCAGGCCACAAAUAACCAGCAGCAUAACAUGCUGUCAGGAGUUGGGAGGGACUGGCUAGCGCAGUUUCUAAACUCGGUGCGGGGAUUCACUGAGAUGCCAAGUCUGGACUCCCUAUUUUGGAAGGAAAUAACAAAAGCCUGCUGGAUGGCUUUACAUACGUAAGAGUCAGCUUAUUGAAAAGUAAGAACUCUCGGCUUAGAGACCUGGGACUCGCUAAGGGUACAAGCUGAGACGUGUUGAAAGAAAAUAUCUGGCCAAGCAGCAAGGCCAUGCUUUUCUGUUUCUUUUCAUUAAGUAAAGUAAAUUGCAGUUCAGAAUUUGUUUUAGAAAAUGAUUUUGUAAAGCUA